rnacentral:misc_RNA from 1 species
GAUGAAGAACGUAGCGAAAUGCGAUAAGUAAUGCGAAUUGCAGAAUUCCAGUGAGUCAUCGAAUCUUUGAACGCACAUUGCGCCCUUUGGUAUUCCGAAGGGCAUGCCUGUUCUAGCGUCAUUAUCACCCCUCAAGCCCCCGGCUUGGUGUUGGACGGCUUGGUGGAGACCCUUUUGUGGCCCACCCCUCCCAAAGACAAUGACGGCGGCCUCGUUGGACCCCCGGUACACUGAGUUCUUCACGGGACACGUAUCGGACACACGGGUUUACGGGUCACGGUCUGCCUCCCCUCAGGGAGAACUUUUCUAAGGUUGACCUCGGAUCAGGUAGGGAUACCCGCUGAACUUAAGCAUAUCAAUAAGCGGAGGA